rnacentral:tRNA from 1 species
CGGACCGUAGCGCAGCCUGGUAGCGCGUUUGCUUGGGGUGCAAAAGGUCAGGGGUUCAAAUCCCCUCGGUCCGACCA